GCAGUGGUGGUUCAGUGGUAGAAUUCUCUCUUCUAUGCUGGAGACCCAGAUUCAUUUCCUGGCCGAUGCG
rnacentral:tRNA from 1 species